rnacentral:rRNA from 1 species
AUUGAACGCUGGCGGCAGGCUUAACACAUGCAAGUCGAGCGGGGUGAUGGUGCUUGCACUAUCACUUAGCGGCGGACGGGUGAGUAAUGCUUAGGAAUCUGCCUAUUAGUGGGGGACAACAUCUCGAAAGGGAUGCUAAUACCGCAUACGUCCUACGGGAGAAAGCAGGGGAUCACUUGUGACCUUGCGCUAAUAGAUGAGCCUAAGUCGGAUUAGCUAGUUGGUGGGGUAAAGGCCUACCAAGGCGACGAUCUGUAGCGGGUCUGAGAGGAUGCUCCGCCACACUGGGACUGAGAGACGGCCCAGACUCCUACGGGAGGCAGCAGUGGGGAAUAUUGGACAAUGGGGGGAACCCUGAUCCAGCCAUGCCGCGUGUGUGAAGAAGGCCUUAUGGUUGUAAAGCACUUUAAGCGAGGAGGAGGCUCUUUUGGUUAAUACCCAAGAUGAGUGGACGUUACUCGCAGAAUAAGCACCGGCUAACUCUGUGCCAGCAGCCGCUGUAA